rnacentral:rRNA from 1 species
CGUGUAGGCGGAUACGUAAGUCAGAUGUGAAAGCCCUGGGCUCAACCCAGGAACUGCAUUUGAAACUGUGUGUCUUGAGUGCUGGAGAGGGAAGCGGAAUUCCUGGUGUAGAGGUGAAAUUCGUAGAUAUCAGGAGGAACACCGGUGGCGAAGGCGGCUUCCUGGACAGUGACUGACGCUGAGACGCGAAAGCGUGGGGAGCAAACA